CAGUCGCCGCGGUAAUACGUAGGGUGCAAGCGUUAAUCGGAAUUACUGGGCGUAAAGCGUGCGCAGGCGGUGUUGUAAGACAGAUGUGAAAUCCCCGGGCUCAACCUGGGAACUGCAUUUGUGACUGUAUAGCUAGAGUACGGCAGAGGGGGAUGGAAUUCCGCGUGUAGCAGUGAAAUGCGUAGAUAUGCGGAGGAACACCGAUGGCGAAGGCAAUCCCCUGGGCCUGUACUGACGCUCAUGCACGAAAGCGUGGGGAGCAAACAGGAUUAGAUACCCCUGUAGUCCCUGUCUCUUAUAC
rnacentral:rRNA from 1 species